GCUAGGUGUGGUGGCGCAUGCCUGUAAUCCCAGUUGCUUGGGAGACUGAGGCAGGAGGAUCUUGAAUUCAAAGCCAGUCUCAACAAUUUAGCGAGGCACUAAACAACUCAGUGAGACCCUGUCUCUA
rnacentral:sRNA from 1 species